UGUAUUUUCUGGUUGACGGGCCAGCAUCAAUUUUGACCGCUGGAAAAAGGCUAUGGGAAUGUGGCACCUUUUGGUGUGUUAUAGCCCAUGGUCAUAUACAGCGGUUGGGAUUGAGGACCGCAG
rnacentral:rRNA from 1 species